CAAUAAUAUUUCUCUCCAACUGCAUUCUUUUAUCAUACAGAGUUAUUUGAUGUAUUCAUAAGUUAAUCAUACUGACAGGGAAUUCUUUUCUAACGCACCAAUAAUUUUUCUCUCGAACUGCAAUCUUUUAUAAUACAGAGUUAUGUGAUGUAUUCAUAAGUUAUUCAUACUGUCAGGGAAUUCUUUUCUAACGCACCAAUAAUAUUUCUCUCCAACUGCAUUCUUUUAUCAUACAGAGUUAUUUUAUAAAUUCAUAAGUUAACCAUGUUGACAAGGAAAUCAUUUCUAGCACACCCAACAUGUUUCUCUCCAGUAUUAGACGUUUGUUAUACAGUUAUUUGAUAUAAUCAUAUGUAAACCAUAUAUCUCUCAAAUUUUAGACAUUUAUCAUACAGAUAUUGGACAUAUUCAUAAAAAAACCAUGUUGACAAGGAAAUUAUUUCUAGCACACCCAACAUGUUUCUCUCCAGUAUUAGACGUUUGUUAUACAGGUAUUUGAUAUAAUCAUAUGUAAACCAUAUAUCUCUCAAAUUUUAGACUUUUAUCAUACAGAUAUUUGAUAUAUUCAUAAGUAAACCAUGUUGAUAGGGAAAUCAUUCCUAGCACACCCAACAUAUUUCUCUCCAAUUUUAGACGUUUGUUAUACAGGUAUUUGAUAUAAUCAUAAGUAAACCAUAUAUCUCUCAAAUUUUAGACUUUUAUCAUACAGAUAUUUGAUAUAUUCAUAAGUAAACCAUGUUGAUAGGGAAAUCAUUCCUAGCACACCCAACAUAUUUCUUUCCAAUUUUAGACUUUUAUCAUACAGAUAUUUGAUAUAUUCAUAAGUAAACCAUGUUUACAGGGAAAUCAUUUCUAGCACACCCAACAUAUUUCUCUCCAAUUUUAGACGUUUGUUAUACAGGUAUUUGAUAUUAUCAUAAGUAAACCAUAUAUCUCUCAAAUUUUAGACUUUUAUCAUACAGAUAUUUGAUAUAUUCAUAAGUAAACCAUGUUGAUAGGGAAAUCAUUCCUAGCACACCCAACAUAUUUCUGUCCAAUUUUAGACUUUUAUCAUACAGAUAUUUGAUAUAUUCAUAAGUUAACCAUGUUGACAGGGAAAUCAUUCCUAGCACACCCAACAUAUUUCUGUCCAAUUUUAGACUUUUAUCAUACAGAUAUUUGAUAUAUUCAUUAGUAAACCACGUUAACAGGGAAAUCAUUCCUAGCACACCCAACAUGUAUACAGGUAUUUGAUAAAUUCAUAAGUAAAUUAUAUUUCUGUCCAAUUUUACUGUUUUAUCAAACAAAUAUUAGAUAUAUUCAUAAGUAAACCAUGUCGACAGGGAAAUUUUUCCUAACACCAAACUUAUUUUUCUCCAAUAUUAGACUUUUAUCGUACAGAUAUUUGAUUAUAUUCAUAGCUAAGCCAUAAUGACAGGGAACUCCCUUCUAAUAUACCUUGCGUAUUCAUAUUAUUUAAAUUAUCGAUUUGUCGAUUAAUAAAAUUUUGAGUAAAUUAUGUUUUCAGAUUACUGUAUAAUUUAAACGCAAAUUAAAAUUCAUGGCGGGAUACCACAUAUUUUAAAAUUGUUUUUUUUUAUCUCUUUAAAGUUAUUCAAAAUUAUAUUAUCUUAAAACGGAAUUCUUUUGGGACACAUUCCUAUUAUUAAUAUCUAUUUUUCAUUUUAAAUGUAUUUAUCAUUUUUGAUACAUUUAUUUAACAGAUAGACCCUUCUGAAAUUAUACAAAUUUUUAAAAAACAAUAAACUUUCAGAUUAUUAUUCUGUUAAACAAUUCAUUCAGUGGGGAAACCAGUACGAGUUACACGAUCUACCUAUUAAAAUACUUUGUUAUUUAUUCCAGUCAUUCAGAAAACAACGAUCUUGAAAUGGUAUUUUUGUAUGGCACACCCUACCCAUUUAUAAACUUUUAUUUUUCUGAUGGCACUCACUUAUUUAGAUUCAUAAUUUGAUUAAGUAAAUAAACAGAUUUAUGAUUUUUGUAGAAAUAAAAAAUUAGAUGAACACAAAGUUUAAAUAUAUUUCGAUCCUAUUAUUCAAACACAUUCAGUCUAUUUAUAGUAUUAUUUUUCAAUUGCAUCAUUACUGGCUUCCAAAAUUCAAAAAAUUAAUAAAAAAUUUCCGAUUCUUUUUAAAUGUAAAAUUAAAAAAAACUUGACGAGGAAAAAACGAAUAAGACCUACCUAUUGAAAUACUUUCUAUUUAUACUAGUUCUCCACAAGUAUACAAUUUUGUUUCGGGGUUCCUUUAAUGCACACUCUACCUACUUCUUUUCUUUCUAAUUGGACUUAUAUUUGACGCAUUUAGAGGAUUUAUAUAUUCAUAUUGCCCGGAUUUUAUUAUAUAAAACACCCAAUAUUUUUCAUUCAAAUUUUAUUCUUUGAUACAGUUUUUCUGAUCUAUCCACAAGUAUGCCAUAUUCUAAGGAAGUUCUUUUAUAAGACACCCUACCAAUUUACCAAACACUCAAAUUUUGAUUUUAGCCAUAUUUCGUUUUACCAUGUACCAUUUCAAUCGAUUUUUGUUUUUUGUAUACCACAAUGAAAAGGGCAUUUUUUUAUAACACACAUUUUUUAUAAAUACCAAAUAAAUUUCACAAGGGGAUACCGUAUACUAAUGAGUCCUACCUAUCAAAUUUCGUAAUUUUUUACGCAAAGACAAUUCUUUUAUAACAGACCAUACCUAUUUGCAUUCACUCAAUUAAGUUCAUUUUGUUUACACCCUUAUACAUUUUAUAAAUUCGUUUUAUCAUGGGGACGGAAUAUUGUAAAUAAUAUUUCCAGUAGAGGUUAUUUCAGUUAAAAAUUUUCACCUUUCAUUUAUAUUUUUGAAUGCAUUCAUUGGUUUAUACACACCCAACAGAGUUAUAUGUUCUCAAGUAUAUUCUUUUGUCAUCGACUUUUAGACGUUUCUUUAUGUAUUUAUGCGCGUACCAUAUUGCAGGGAUAUUAUAUUAAGCAUCCAACCAUUUUCAAUUCAAUUUCAAUUUUUGUAUCAAAUAUUUUUCGAAAUAGAUAUUUAUAAGCACACCAUUGCAAUUCUUUUAUUAGAGUCCCUACCUGUUUUUUUACACACUCAUUAUUAUAAUUCAUUUUACCAAACCCAAUCCAUUUUUAUGUACACUAUCAUUAAAGGUAAUUCAUUUAUAACACACCAUAGGUAUUCAUCUUCGUUCAAUUGCAUUCAUUAAAACAUUGCGACUGAGUCGUUUUGAUUUAUAAUAUUUGAAGUGAACCGUUAAGGUCGUACCUAAGACAUCACAUAAUUUUAUUUGUUCAUUUGAAUUCAU